GAUGAACGCUGGCGGCGUGCCUAAUACAUGCCAGUCGAGCGAACAGACGAGGAGCUUGCUCCUCUGACGUUAGCGGCGGACGGGUGAGUAACACGUGGAUAACCUACCUCUAAGACUGGGAUAACUUCGGGAAACCGGAGCUAAUACCGGAUAAUAUAUUGAACCGCAUGGUUCAAUAGUUAAAGACGGUUUUGCUGUCACUUAUAGAUGGAUCCGCGCCGCAUUAGCUAGUUGGUAAGGUAACGGCUUACCAAGGCAACGAUGCGUAGCCGACCUGAGAGGGUGAUCGGCCACACUGGAACUGAGACACGGUCCAGACUCCUACGGGAGGCAGCAGUAGGGAAUCUUCCGCAAUGGGCGAAAGCCUGAAGGAGCAACGCCGCGUGAGUGAUGAAGGUCUUCGGAUCGUAAAACUCUGUUAUUAGGGAAGAACAAAUGUGUAAGUAACUAUGCACGUCUUGACGGUACCUAAUCAGAAAGCCACGGCUAACUACGUG
rnacentral:rRNA from 1 species